rnacentral:rRNA from 1 species
GAUGAACGCUGGCGGCGUGCUUAACACAUGCCAGUCGAACGAUGAAGCCCAGCUUGCUGGGUGGAUUAGUGGCGAACGGGUGAGUAACACGUGAGUAACCUGCCCUUAACUCUGGGAUAAGCCUGGGAAACUGGGUCUAAUACCGGAUAGGAGCGUCCACCGCAUGGUGGGUGUUGGAAAGAUUUAUCGGUUUUGGAUGGACUCGCGGCCUAUCAGCUUGUUGGUGAGGUAAUGGCUCACCAAGGCGACGACGGGUAGCCGGCCUGAGAGGGUGACCGGCCACACUGGGACUGAGACACGGCCCAGACUCCUACGGGAGGCAGCAGUGGGGAAUAUUGCACAAUGGGCGAAAGCCUGAUGCAGCGACGCCGCGUUAGGGAUGACGGCCUUCGGGUUGUAAACCUCUUUCAGUAGGGAAGAAGCGAAAGUGACGGUACCUGCAGAAGAAGCACCGGCUAACUACGUG